AUGAAGCUAUGGGAGAGAGUCAUUGAGCACCGCUUAAGAAGAAUGACAAGCGUGACCAAAAAUCAGUUUGGUUUCAUGCCUGGGAGGUCAACCAUGGAAGCCAUUUUCUUGGUACGACAACUUAUGGAGAGAUAUAGGGAGCAAAAGAAGGACUUGCAUAUGGUGUUCAUUGACUUGGAGAAGGCCUAUGAUAAGAUACCGCAGAAUGUCAUGUGGUGGGCCUUGGAGAAACACAAAGUCCCAGCAAAGUACAUUACCCUCAUCAAGGACAUGUAUGAUAAUGUUGUGACAAGUGUUCGAACAAGUGAUGUCGACACUGAUGACUUCCCGAUUAAGAUAGGACUGCAUCAAGGGUCAGCUUUGAGCCCUUAUCUUUUUGCAUUGGUGAUGGAUGAGGUCACAAGGGAUAUACAAGGAGAUAUCCCAUGGUGUAUGCUCUUUGCGGAUGAUGUGGUGCUAGUUGACGAUAGUCGGACGGGGGUAAAUAGGAAGUUAGAGUUAUGGAGACAAACCUUGGAAUCGAAAGGGUUUAGGCUUAGUAGAACUAAAACCGAGUACAUGAUGUGCGGUUUCAGUACUACUAGGUGUGAGGAGGAGGUUAGCCUUGAUGGCCAGGUGGUACCUCAGAAGGACACCUUUCGGUAUUUGGGGUCAAUGCUGCAGGAGGAUGGGGGUAUUGAUGAAGAUGUGAACCAUCGAAUCAAAGCCGGAUGGAUGAAGUGGCGCCAAGCUUCUGGCAUUCUCUGUGACAAGAGAGUGCCACAAAAGCUAAAAGGCAAGUUCUACAGGAUGGCGGUUUGA
rnacentral:rRNA from 1 species